AUUGAACGCUGGCGGCAUGCCUUACACAUGCAAGUCGAACGGCAGCACGGGUGCUUGCACCUGGUGGCGAGUGGCGAACGGGUGAGUAAUACAUCGGAACGUACCUUAUCGUGGGGGAUAACGCAGCGAAAGCUGUGCUAAUACCGCAUACGCCCUGAGGGGGAAAGCGGGGGAUCGAAAGACCUCGCGCGAUUAGAGCGGCCGAUGCCUGAUUAGCUUGUUGGAGGGGUAAAAGCCCACCAAGGCGACGAUCAGUAGCUGGUCUGAGAGGACGAUCAGCCACACUGGGACUGGGACACGGCCCAGACUCCUACGGGAGGCAGCAGUGGGGAAUUUUGGACAAUGGGGGCAACCUUGAUCCAGCAAUGCCGCGUGAGUGAAGAAGGCCUUCGGGUUGUAAAGCUCUUUUGUCAGGGAAGAAACACCGGCUCUAACACAGUCCGGAAAUGACGGUACCUGAAGAAUAAGCACCGGCUAACUACGUGCCAGCCGCCGCCGUAA
rnacentral:rRNA from 1 species